UCGGGAAUUUUGGGCAAUGGGCGAAAGCCUGACCCAGCAACGCCGCGUGAAGGAUGAAGUCUCUCGGGAUGUAAACUUCGUAAGAAUAGGAAGAAUAAAUGACGGUACUAUUUGUAAGGUCCGGCUAACUACGUGCCAGCAGCCGCGGUAAUACGUAGGGACCAAGCGUUGUUCGGAUUUACUGGGCGUAAAGGGCGCGUAGGCGGCGUGGUAAGUCACUUGUGAAAUCUCCGAGCUUAACUCGGAACGGUCAAGUGAUACUGCUGUGCUAGAGUACAGAAGGGGCAAUCGGAAUUCUUGGUGUAGCGGUGAAAUGCGUAGAUAUCAAGAGGAACACCUGAGGUGAAGACGGGUUGCUGGGCUGACACUGACGCUGAGGCGCGAAAGCCAGGGGAGCAAACGGGAUUAGAUACCCCCGUAGUCCCUGAGCGGGCUGGCAAGGCGCAU
rnacentral:rRNA from 1 species